GACGAACGCUGGCGGCGUGCUUAACACAUGCAAGUCGAACGGAAAGGCCCUGCUUUUGUGGGGUGCUCGAGUGGCGAACGGGUGAGUAACACGUGAGUAACCUGCCCUUGACUUUGGGAUAACUUCAGGAAACUGGGGCUAAUACCGGAUAGGAGCUCCUGCUGCAUGGUGGGGGUUGGAAAGUUUCGGCGGUUGGGGAUGGACUCGCGGCUUAUCAGCUUGUUGGUGGGGUAGUGGCUUACCAAGGCUUUGACGGGUAGCCGGCCUGAGAGGGUGACCGGCCAAAUGGGGACUGAGAUCCGCCCCAGACCCUUACGGGAGGAAGCAGGGGGGAAUAUUGCACAAUGGGCGGAAGCCUGAUGCGGCAACGCCGGGUGCGGGAUGAGGGCCUUCGGGUUGUAAACCGCUUUCGCCUGUGACGAAGCGUGAGUGGCGGUAAUGGGAAAAGAAGCACCGGCUAACUACGU
rnacentral:rRNA from 1 species